GUCUACAGCCAUAUCACCCUGAACAUACCUGAUUUCAUCCAUCUCAGAAGCUGAGGAGGGUCAGGCCUGGUUAGUGUGGAUG
rnacentral:rRNA from 1 species